AUCUGCGUCCCUAAAUAUAUUUUUCACAGUUCUGAUUGAUUUUAAUGCACAUAUUUCAUGUUAGUGUUCAGCCCAAAUAGAGAAACAAGGAAACUAUUGCAUUUCUUCAUUCCCUCUGUUCUAGAACGGUUCUAUGAUUUCAGAAUGGAUUGUGCAUCCUGUAUUCCAAAGGUUAUUCCAGACUAUAGUGUAAGCAGACCAGAUGAGGCAUCAUCCUGUAUUCUAGGUUAUUCCAGACUGUAGUGUGAGCAGACCAGAUGAGGCAUCAUCCUGUAUUCUAGGUUAUUCCAGACUGUAGUGUGAGCAGACCAGUUGAGGCAUCAUCCUGUAUUCUAGGUUAUUCCAGACUAGUGUGAGCAGACCAGAUGAGGCAUCAUCCUGUAUUCUAGGUUAUUCCAGACUAGUGUGAGCAGACCAGUUGAGGCAUCAUCCUGUAUUCUAGGUUAUUCCAGACUAGUGUGAGCAGACCAGUUGAGGCAUCAUCCUGUAUUCUAGGUUAUUCCAGACUGUAGUGUGAGCAGACCAGUUGAGGCAUCAUCCUGUAUUCUAGGUUAUUCCAGACUGUAGUGUGAGCAGACCAGUUGAGGCAUCAUCCUGUAUUCUAGGUUAUUCCAGACUGUAGUGUGAGCAGACCAGUUGAGGCAUCAUCCUGUAUUCUAGGUUAUUCCAGACUAGUGUGAGCAGACCAGAUGAGGCAUCAUCCUGUAUUCUAGGUUAUUCCAGACUAGUGUGAGCAGACCAGAUGAGGCAUCAUCCUGUAUUCUAGGAGGUUAUUCCAGACUAGUGUGAGCAGACCAGUUGAGGCAUCAUCCUGUAUUCUAGGAGGUUAUUCCAGACUAGUGUGAGCAGACCAGUUGAGGCAUCAUCCUGUAUUCUAGGAGGUUAUUCCAGACUAGUGUGAGCAGACCAGUUGAGGCAUCAUGCUCUAUUAUAGGUUAUUCCAGACUAGUGUGAGCAGACCAGAUGAGGCAUCACGCUCUAUUCUAUUCCAGUUGCCAAGUAUUGUUUCUGGUUACUUUUCCAUGAUCAUUGCCAACAGCUCUCUACUGCCAAACAUUUACAUUACCAUGUGCCUGAGGGGGGAGGGGGAGAGAGACUGUCAUACGGUUUCAUCAAAGAGGUGCGCAAGCGUGUCAAGAGAACACGGGUCUCAUUGCGCCUCCAGUGUGUAUGUGUAUGUGUAUGUGUGUGUGUGUGUGUGUGUGUGUCGAUGGUAUGUUUUGUUUUUGUGCAUGUCUUAGGGUGUAUCUCCAGAGAUUACACCUACAAACUUUGAUUGCCUUGCGUUGUAGACUACAGCAUUCCAGUACAGUCUGUGUGAGUGUGUUGCUUCUUAGCCAAGUCUUUCUGCAGUAUCUGAGCUUUUCAGCUUCUUGUGUUAUUAUUCCGCCUUCUGUUACAGUCCUCCAUAGUGUUAUAAUAUACGGCUGUCUCAAAUGACACCCUAUUUUUGUAUACGGGGGAAUAGUGACAUUUUAGAUGAGUCCUGUGUUUUAAAUGACACCCUAUUCCAUAAAGUGCACUACCUAUGGAAUGACAUUUGGGAUGCAGAUAGUGUCAUAACCAGGACCUUGCCCAUAGCCUCCUGCUUUACAGAAGCAGUGUGAUGUACUGUCAAAUUGUGUCAAGGUAAGCAUGUUCUGGCCUAUUUGUGAUACCAUGCCUUCAGAGUACAGCAGAGUGGUGGUGUCGUGUCAAAAAGUGGUGCCCGUUGGCAAAAUGUUACCCUGUGCCAGGCCCAAAAACAUUUCUAACCUGUUCUGUACUGUGAUACUGGUCUGAGUCUGAUGGUACCCCAACACACACGCUUGACUGUUGCCAUAACAACCCUUGACAUGGGUGUGGCAAAGUGCACCUGUAUUCACAAAGCGUCUCAGAGUAAGUGCCUCACUAAUAACAGAAGCCUUUGAAACCAUAAUGAAUACGAGCGGGGACCUGAUCCUAGAACACCACUCCUACUGAGACACUAUGUGAAUACAGGCCCAGCAUACGAGAAAGGGGAAGGUAGCAUUGUUUUUGAUUGUGGCUGUACAGAAUGCGAGUCUGUGCCAGGUUUUCCGUACUUGGAAGCCUUGGCCCCAGCGCAUUUUGGCGAGGGGACAGAGACCAGAGUUCACCAGUUCGGGAUCUGUCAAACACUUAUAAACCUGUCCUCUCCCUGCAGAGAUGCAGGUCACUAUGGUUACAGAUUAAAAGGGAGCCUGACAGUAUUACACAGCGAGGAUGUGAGGAGUACAGUACAAGCGUGUGUGAGGGGGACUAUUCCGAUAUAUUGUGUACAGUGAAUGUAUUGUAAUGUGUGUCAAGUGCGUUUAAAUUAUAUUUUCAUAUGUUAAGUGGAGAACAAUGUUUCGUAUUUGUACGGAGGCAACAGAGGGUGUGAGGAAGGAGACCUGUGUACUAUAUCAAACUGUUUUUACAUAAGCUGCUGCUUCAUAAAUGUGAACACUAUUACAUUAAAAAUAAAGAGAACAUUAGCCAGAA